AAUGAACGUUGGCGGCGUGGAUUAGGCAUGCAAGUCGAGCGCGAAACGUAGCAAUACGUGGAAAGCGGCGAAAGGGAGAGUAAUACAUAGGUACGUACCCUUGGACCUGGGAUAGCGGCGGGAAACUGCCGGUAAUACCAGAUAAUGUCUCCGGACCAAAGGUGUGAUUCCGUCUGAGGAGCGGCCUAUGUCCUAUUAGCUAGUUGGUAAGGUAACGGCUUACCAAGGCAAAGAUGGGUAUGGGGUGUGAGAGCAUGCCCCCACUCACUGGGACUGAGACACUGCUCAGACACCUACGGGUGGCUGCAGUCGAGAAUCGUCGGCAAUGGACGCAAGUCUGACCGAGCGACGCCGCGUGCGGGAUGAAGGCCUUCGGGUUGUAAACCGCUGUCGUAGGGGAGGAAAUGCAGGUGGGUACUCCCAUCUGCUUGACUGAUCCUAGGAGGAAGGACCGGCUAAUCUCGUGCCAGCAGCCGCCGUAAGAC
rnacentral:rRNA from 1 species